AGAGUUUGAUCCUGGCUCAGAGUGAACGCUGGCGGCGUGCUUAACACAUGCAAGUCGAACGGUAACAGAUACUUCGGUAUGCUGACGAGUGGCGCACGGGUGAGUAAUAUAUAGAUAAUGUACCCCUUAGUCUGGGAUAGCCAUUGGAAACGAUGAUUAAUACUGGAUAUUCCUUUUUAACAUAAGUUAGAUUGGGAAAGUUUUUCGCUAAGGGAUCUGUCUAUAUCCUAUCAGUUUGUUGGUAGUGUAAGAGACUACCAAGACUAUGACGGGUAGCGGGUUUGAGAGGAUGAUCCGCCACACUGGUACUGAGACACGGACCAGACUCCUACGGGAGGCAGCAGUGAGGAAUAUUGCACAAUGGACGCAAGUCUGAUGCAGCAACGCCGCGUGGAGGAUGACGCAUUUCGGUGUGUAAACUCCUUUUAUAUGUCAAGAAAAUGACGGUAGCAUAUGAAUAAGCACCGGCCAACUCCGUGCCAGCAGCCGCGGUAAUACGGAGGGUGCAGGCGUUACUCGGAAUCACUGGGCGUAAAGGACGCGUAGGCGGGAAGUCAAGUCUGAUGUGAAAUCCUAUGGCUCAACCAUAGAACUGCAUUGGAAACUGGCUACCUAGAGUAUGGGAGGGGGAGAUGGAAUUAGUGGUGUAGGGGUAAAAU
rnacentral:rRNA from 1 species